rnacentral:rRNA from 1 species
GAUGAACGCUGACAGAAUGCUUAACACAUGCAAGUCGAUUCAAGUUACCUUCGGGUAAUGAGGAUGGCGGACGGGUGAGUAACGCGUAAGGAACUUGCCUCUUGGUCUGGGACAACUGUUGGAAACGACAGCUAAUACCGGAUAUUAUGAGAUUCUCACAUGGGAAACUUAUGAAAGCUAUAUGCGCCAAGAGAGAGCCUUGCGUUCCAUUAGCUAGUUGGUGGGGUAACGGCCCACCAAGGCGACGAUGGAUAGCCGGCCUGAGAGGGUGAACGGCCACAAGGGGACUGAGACACGGCCCUUACUCCUACGGGAGGCAGCAGUGGGGANNAUUGGANNNNGGGNNNNAAGCCUGAUCCAGCAAUUCUGUGUGCACGAUGAAGGUCUUCGGAUUGUAAAGUGCUUUCAGUUGGGAANAAGAAAGUGACGGUACCAACAGAANNAGCGACGGCUAAAUACGUGCCAGCAGCCGCNGUAAUACGUAUGUCGCAAGCGUUAUCCGGAUUUAUUG